rfam:Hordeum vulgare subsp. vulgare, WGS project CAJW01000000 data, contig: morex_contig_40154
UAUGUACUUCCUCUGUCCUAAAAUUCUUGUCUUAGAUUUGUCUAAAAAUGAAUGUACCUAAAUACUAAAACAUGCUAGAUACAUUUAUAUUUAAAUAAAUCUAAAACAGUAAUUUUAAGAUAGGAGGGAGUAGUUC